GGGGAGAGGCUUGCUCGGUAACCAUGGCAACACCCACAGCUGCGUGCGAGCGAGCCGAGCUGGCACAGAGCUGGCACAGAGGCGCCCGCACCCCGAUCCCAGCGCCCGGAGACAGCGCUCCUCGGCUCCAGGUUCCCCAACCCGAGUUUGGCUUCCAGCUGACUCACGUCUUCUCAAGUCGGUGUAUUUAGAAACAGAGUCCCUCCCUCCCUCCUGGAAGCGGAGAGCGGAUCGCACCUGUGACAAAUAGCAGGCUCUGACAAGUUCUGCAGAAGAGAUUCCUGUCGAACAAUAUCCCAGGUCUCGGCAAAAACAGUCUGCAGACAGCGUCCAGCGACGGCCGAGUCCCUGGUUCCCGAUUUCAGGCGUAGCUCGGAUCCACGAGGCUGCGUGACCUGGGACAACGGCUUGCCUUCUCUGGAAGUCUGUGUCUCCUCCCGCAGAAAGGCCUUAUGGGGAACUGCCACUGAUCCUUGAAACAUGGAGCUGCGCCGGGUCCGGGACGCCGGGGACCUGGAGGGGAACCGCCCCUCCCCCCUCUCCUCCGUGAGCCUGAGCCGCAGGCCCGGGUUACUGGGCGAUUGUUCCACGCCACCUUGUCACGGGCAUACACGGCAGGGGCCACCGCGGGGCUGCAAGUCGCGGUCCAUUCGAGAGCAAAGUUCCUGGACGGCAGAACCAACCUACACGGGCAAUUUCAAAACACCUAACUUGCUACUUAUACAAGGGAGAAGUAAAGAGAAUGCUCUUUAGUGUA